UUAUCGGGGCUGUUAGUAGUAUCUGGAAUUUGUUCUUUAUCUGGCAACGCUGGUACAGGGAUGUACCAGCGAGGUGCAUAGGAACAGGGAUGUGACUUUGCACCGGUUGCCGGAACAGAGACAACGAAAAAACAAAUUCCAGAUACUACUUACACCCUGAUACC
rfam:Roseburia sp. CAG:45 genomic scaffold, scf67